rnacentral:lncRNA from 1 species
AGCGGCGGCCAAACUCUGCCCCGCUCCCUCGCCCUCCGCGCCCGCCUCGGCGGGAUGCGCGGAGGGAGCGCGCGGGGCGGCGGCCAGGUGCUGCGCGGUCCCCGGUGCGGCCGCCGGCAUCGCGCGGGGGACGAGCCCCAGGCAAAACCUGGAGGACCCAAAGUUAAGCGAGAGCCGGCGCAUCCGCGCAGGCGGCGGGGGUGCGGGCGUCGCAUCGCGGCAGAGGCGAGGCUGGGGCGGCUGCACAUAUUUGGCCUGCGGGGAAAUGGCUUGUACCAGCUCACCUGGUAUCCUAUCUCUUCACUGAAAAGGGAUUGGAAAGGAAGGCUAAAUUCCAUGUAUGUGACGGCAAGUCCCCAACCAACCCCUUUCACAAACAGCCUUUUGCAGAUGACAGCUUGGAGUGUGUGUUGCAGGAUUAGCUGAAGUCUCUGGCUGCCAGAAUUGCUGCCUCCAUCUCCUUCUCUUCUUUCCUUUUGGGAGUCUCCAGCAGAUAGAUGCAAUGUAGAGCAGCCCUGGGACUGGACGAGCUUGACGAACUAGUCCCUUCACCAGCCCUGAUUUUCAGGGUAUAAAAAGUAGCAUAGACUAUUCCCCCAAACUGUGUUAUCAAUAGCCAAUGUUCCCAAGUCCUUCCUGGGGAAGACCAACAACUGAAACCUGUUCUUUCAGGAAACUGGAAGUCUUAGGUCCUAGAUCCAAAGGUAACGAGAGAAUGGCUAAAGUUAUAUGUGAACAACUGACAUAUGCUUGAGCCUCCUAACUGAGACAAACAACAGGGGCACAAAACAGGGUUAUUACAGUUUUCAUAACCAAAAUCCUUAAAAGAGGAAGAUUUUUUAAAAAAGUACAUUUUAACUGGAUAAUUCUAACUAAGAUCUACUGCUGCGUACUUCGUUACUUAGCAAAGUUCUGAACAGCAGACAUUGCCCAGACUGUUUAAAAAUGUAGUGUGAAAAACUAACAAGCAGAUGUUUGACAUUUACAUUCUCAAACAGUUCUCUGAUCGCUAAUGCACAGCCUCAGGAACAGGUUGUGUAGCACGUGUGUGAGUAUGUCUGUAGAAAGGGAGUGGGAAAAAGAACAACAGUAAGCAAAAGCACCCACAGCAAUAUUUUUAGUUUUCUUACCGCUCUGCAUUGCUGCCGAGGAGCUUUUGUGGCCAGGUAAUGCAAAAAACACACGUGCAAAAAUAAGUUAGUGUUUAAUGCCCAUUUUGUGAUUUGGUACUGAACAUGACAUGUUUCAUUCUUACUGACCACCCAGCCUCUCACACCUAAUUGAUUGUUAGUUUAAAUGUCAUUAUAUUCCCUACUGAAGGCAAGUAGUAAGCCAGCUGUGUUUCCCCGUGCCCAGUUUGCUGUGGAGAGCUGAUUCAGAAACCUGUGACAACCAAAAUAAAUGUACAUGCUGAUAGUAACUUCUUCA